rnacentral:lncRNA from 1 species
CUGGGAGCCUGACACAUGGCACACAUCUGGUGGGCUCUGUGCUGCAACCGCACCCGGCAUCUGCCUUGCUGUCCUGGGCCACUUCUGCCUACAAUGUGUGGCCUCGGCUCGGGGUCUUGCUGGGAGACACAUCUGUUUCCCCUGGGGAAGACUCCAGCCCCGGGGUCCCUCACCCACUCCUUGUCCCCAGUGCCACCCUGUCAUGCUGCUCAGUAGAGCCAUGCUCCGGUGCUGCUGUGGUUGUUGAUCCUCAGAGUUGGGGAUCUGUGAAAGCAGCUGAUGUGGAUUUUUGACCUGAAGAACAGAGUAUACUUUACAACCAGAGUUCCCGGGACCUCUUGACAUGGCCUAGUGCCUGCUGGUGCUGUGUGCCCCUGGCCUGCGUCUUGGGAGAUCUACUUGAAGGUCACCUCAGAGGCCAGAGCUCUGCUGGCCUCUUGGAGGCUGGCUGUGCUGGGGCCUGCCUCUGUCCUUGCUGCGGUGUCACAUCUUGGUCCUGGUCUGUGUUCUGCCCCUGUGCUGUACCUCCGUUCUCCUCCCAGGUGAGGCUUUUCGACCUCCUCAGGAUACAGGGCAACUGUACAUCAGCCUCAUCCCUUCCGGAGCAGCUUCAGAAGGCCCACUUAGGCUCUGGGGGCGCUUGCGGAAGACCCUGCUUGGGGAGAUGCCUGGUGUUUGUGUCGCGCCCUUGGUCUGUGAAUCUGUGAUCUUUGGCUUGCAGGCAUAGCCUGUUCCCUUCUUCAGGACUGGGAGGUGUCUGUGUCUUUGCAGCUGUGGUCUGUCUCCCUGCCUGGCUUCCUCAAAGACCCCACGGCACUUUGCUGACCUCAUUUCCACAUUCCUGCAGCGUAACACGUGGAUUAAAGCCAAUUUAUUACCCCA